rnacentral:misc_RNA from 1 species
AUGCCUGUUCGAGCGUCAUUACAACCCUCAAGCUCUGCUUGGUAUUGGGCGACACCAAGGUGCGCCUCAAAAUCAGUGGCGGUGCAUCUGGCUUCAAGCGUAGUAAUCAUUCUCGCUACGGAGUUCAGGUGGUGCUCGCCAGUAACCCCAUACUUUUUGAGGUUGACCUCGGAUCAGGUAGGGAUACCCGCUGAACUUAA